CAGGCUUCCAUGCACACACAGUAGAAGGACCAUAGGUUUCUGAAAGACCAUAAGUGUGGGUUACACGGAAACCUUUUUGAGACAUUGCAAAGAGAACAGCAGGGGGUGGGGCAGCGCCGGCCGUCAUUACAUGAACAAUAUGGGGGAGGGGCAGAAUUGUGUCCUCAGGUGGGGCAUUAACUACGGUAUUGAGCACCACAGGUGCAGCACAGAAGUGAGUCACACCAUACUUUGCUAUGGCUGAGUAGACUCCCUUUGCUGUUACCUGCCGAUACAUAAGGAAUGGAAUAACUCUCAAAGUCUCAAUCUCUGAGUUCAAAUCAUGACAAGAUGAAAGCAGAAUAUCAAAAGGCACCAGAGCAUAAUAGGACUACAUUAUACUGAAUACACAACCUCAGAGUUUCAAUAAAAUUAAGCCUAGAACCAGAUCAGAAAUAGAUGAAUAUGGAACAGAAAAGCUAAUUUGUUUCAUAUACUGAAGUGGAUGUAAAGCAAUUAUUUUGCCUACUAAUUACCUGUCGGAGGCAUAUGUUUGUUCCACAAAGAGCUGCGAGUGCCCAAGUAAAACACCAACCAUUACAAUGGAACAUGGGUAGAGUCCACAAGUACACAGCACCUUCAUUCAUCCCCCAUAUAAGAGGAUUACUCAAAGACAUGAGAUAUGCCCCUCGGUGAUGUAAUACCACCCCUUUAGGACUGGCUGUUGUGCCAGAUGUAUAACCCAAAGCAAUGCUUUGCCACUCAUCCUGAGGAGGCUUCCAAGCAAACUCAGGGUCACCACUUUCUAAGAACUUCUCAUACUCAAUGGCUCCUUGUCCCAAAGCAUACCUGAGGGUUUUGGGAUCACAGCUUUCAUCAGCAAUGACAAUCAAAAGUGAAGGCUUGAAAUUGCCUUGGCUUUUCUCCUUCAUGAUUUUCAAAGACUCCUCUGCCAAAGUGAAAAACUCUUGGUCCACAAUGACAACGGCAGAUU
rnacentral:lncRNA from 1 species